CCCAGCUGCCAAGAAAAGCCGCUAUUGUUUCAUAAGUACCCGUACCGUAAACCGACACAGGUGGAUGAGGAGAGAAUCCUAAGGCCGGCGGGAGAAGUGUUGUUAAGGAACUCGGCAAAAUGACUCCGUAACUUCGGGAGAAGGAGUGCCACAGAGAUGUGGCCGCAGAGAAAAGGCCCAAGCAACUGUUUAGCAAAAACACAGGUCUAUGCAAAACCGAAAGGUGAGGUAUAUGGGCUGACGCCUGCCCGGUGCUGGAAGGUUAAGAGGAGAGGUUAGAGCAAUCGGAGCUUUGAAUUUAAGCCCCAGUAAACGGCGGCCGUAACUAUAACGGUCCUAAGGUAGCGAAAUUCCUUGUCGGGUAAGUUCCGACCCGCACGAAAGGCGUAAUGAUUUGGGCACUGUCUCAACAACACACCCGGUGAAAUUGAAAUACCAGUGAAGAUGCUGGUUACCUGCGCCAGGACGGAAAGACCCCAUGGAGCUUUACUCCAGUUUGAUACUGGGAUUCGGUACUGUCUGUACAGGAUAGGUGGGAGGCUAGGAAAUGGUGACGCCAGUUGCCAUGGAGCCAACCUUGGGAUACCACCCUUACAGUACUGGGUUUCUAACCUGCAGCCGUAACCCGGCUGGGGGACAAUGUCUGACGGGGAGUUUGACUGGGGCGGUCGCCUCCGAAAGAGUAUCGGAGGCGCUCAAAGGUUCCCUCAGAACGGUUGGAAACCGUUCGAAGAGUGCAAAGGCAGAAGGGAGCUUGACUGCGACACCGACGGGUGGAGCAGAUACGAAAGUAGGACUUAGUGAUCCGGUGGUAUAAAGUGGGAUUGCCAUCGCUCAACGGAUAAAAGCUACCCUGGGAUAACAGGCUUAUCACUCCCAAGAGUUCACAUCGACGGAGUGGUUUGGCACCUCGAUGUCGGCUCAUCGCAUCCUGGAGCUGUAGCAGGUUCCAAGGGUUGGGCUGUUCGCCCAUUAAAGCGGUACGCGAGCUGGGUUCAGAACGUCGUGAGACAGUUCGGUCCCUAUCCGGCGUGGGCGUAGGAUAUUUGAGAGGAGCUGUCCUUAGUACGAGAGGACCGGGAUGGACAAACCUCUGGUGUAUCUGUUGUUUUACCAAAGGCAUGGCAGAGUAGCCAAGUUUGGCAGGGAUAAACGCUGAAGGCAUCUAAGCGUGAAGCCCCCCUCAAGAUAAGAUAUCCCAUCUUCGGAGUAAGACCCCUUGAAGACUACAAGGUUGAUAGGCUUCAGGUGUAAGUGUGGUAACGCACUCAGCUGAGAAGUACUAAUAGGUCGAGGACUUAUU
rnacentral:rRNA from 1 species